CACCGCUGACGACCGGCGCACGGGUGCGUAACGCGUAUACAAUCUACCUUAUAGAGGGGAAUAGCCCAGAGAAAUUUGGAUUAAUGCCCCAUAGUAUUAUUGAAUAGCAUUAUUUAAUAAUUAAACAUUUAUGGCUAUAAGAUGAGUAUGCGUUCUAUUAGCUAGAUGGUAAGGUAACGGCUUACCAUGGCUACGAUAGAUAGGGGUCCUGAGAGGGAGAUCCCCCACACUGGUACUGAGACACGGACCAGACUCCUACGGGAGGCAGCAGUGAGGAAUAUUGGACAAUGGGCGAGAGCCUGAUCCAGCCAUGCCGCGUGCAGGAAGACGGCCCUAUGGGUUGUAAACUGCUUUUACAGAGGAAGAAACACCCCGACGUGUCGGGACUUGACGGUACUCUGCGAAUAAGGAUCGGCUAACUCCGUGCCAGCAGCCGCGGUAAUACGGAGGAUCCAAGCGUUAUCCGGAAUCAUUGGGUUUAAAGGGUCCGUAGGCGGGACAA
rnacentral:rRNA from 1 species